GAUGAACGCUGGCGGCGUGCCUAAUACAUGCAAGUCGAGCGAACGGACGAGAAGCUUGCUUCUCUGAUGUUAGCGGCGGACGGGUGAGUAACACGUGGAUAACCUACCUAUAAGACUGGGAUAACUUCGGGAAACCGGAGCUAAUACCGGAUAAUAUUUUGAACCGCAUGGUUCAAAAGUGAAAGACGGUCUUGCUGUCACUUAUAGAUGGAUCCGCGCUGCAUUAGCUUGUUGGUAAGGUAACGGCUUACCAAGGCAACGAUGCAUAGCCGACCUGAGAGGGUGAUCGGCCACACUGGAACUGAGACACGGUCCAGACUCCUACGGGAGGCAGCAGUAGGGAAUCUUCCGCAAUGGGCGAAAGCCUGACGGAGCAACGCCGCGUGAGUGAUGAAGGUCUUCGGAUCGUAAAACUCUGUUAUUAGGGAAGAACAUAUGUGUAAGUAACUGUGCACAUCUUGACGAUACCUAAUCAGAAAGCCACGGCUAACUACGUG
rnacentral:rRNA from 1 species